AGAUGGCGACCGGCGCACGGGUGAGUAACACGUAUCCAACCUGCCUUUACUCGGGGAUAGCCUUUCGAAAGAAAGAUUAAUACCCGAUAGCAUAAUGAUUCCGCAUGGUUUCAUUAUUAAAGGAUUCCGGUAAAGGAUGGGGAUGCGUUCCAUUAGGUUGUUGGUGAGGUAACGGCUCACCAAGCCUUCGAUGGAUAGGGGUUCUGAGAGGAAGGUCCCCCACAUUGGAACUGAGACACGGUCCAA
rnacentral:rRNA from 1 species